GACGAACGCUGGCGGCGCGCCUAACACAUGCAAGUCGAACGAGCGAGAGAGAGCUUGCUUUCUCGAGCGAGUGGCGAACGGGUGAGUAACGCGUGAGGGACCUGCCUCAAAGAGGGGGACAACAGUUGGAAACGACUGCUAAUACCGCAUAAGCCCACGGUGCCGCAUGGCACAGAGGGAAAAGGAGCAAUCCGCUUUGAGAUGGCCUCGCGUCCGAUUAGCUAGUUGGUGAGGUAAUGGCCCACCAAGGCAACGAUCGGUAGCCGGACUGAGAGGUUGAACGGCCACAUUGGGACUGAGACACGGCCCAGACUCCUACGGGAGGCAGCAGUGGGGAAUAUUGCACAAUGGGGGAAACCCUGAUGCAGCGACGCCGCGUGGAGGAAGAAGGUCUUCGGAUUGUAAACUCCUGUUGUUGGGGAAGAUAAUGACGGUACCCAACAAGGAAGUGACGGCUAACUACGUGCCAGCAGCCGCGGUAAAACGUAGGUCACAAGCGUUGUCCGGAAUUACUGGGUGUAAAGGGAGCGCAGGCGGGAAGACAAGUUGGAAGUGAAAUCUAUGGGCUCAACCCAUAAACUGCUUUCAAAACUGUUUUUCUUGAGUAGUGCAGAGGUAGGCGGAAUUCCCGGUGUAGCGGUGGAAUGCGUAGAUAUCGGGAGGAACACCAGUGGCGAAGGCGGCCUACUGGGCACCAACUGACGCUGAGGCUCGAAAGUGUGGGUAGCAAACAGGAUUAGAUACCCUGGUAGUCCACACCGUAAACGAUGAUUACUAGGUGUUGGAGGAUUGACCCCUUCAGUGCCGCAGUUAACACAAUAAGUAAUCCACCUGGGGAGUACGACCGCAAGGUUGAAACUCAAAGGAAUUGACGGGGGCCCGCACAAGCAGUGGAGUAUGUGGUUUAAUUCGACGCAACGCGAAGAACCUUACCAAGUCUUGACAUCCCUUGACAGACAUAGAAAUAUGUAAUCUCUUCGGAGCAAGGAGACAGGUGGUGCAUGGUUGUCGUCAGCUCGUGUCGUGAGAUGUUGGGUUAAGUCCCGCAACGAGCGCAACCCUUAUGGUCAGUUACUACGCAAGAGGACUCUGGCCAGACUGCCGUUGACAAAACGGAGGAAGGUGGGGAUGACGUCAAAUCAUCAUGCCCUUUAUGACUUGGGCUACACACGUACUACAAUGGCGUUAAACAAAGAGAAGCAAGACCGCGAGGUGGAGCAAAACUCAGAAACAACGUCCCAGUUCGGACUGCAGGCUGCAACUCGCCUGCACGAAGUCGGAAUUGCUAGUAAUCGUGGAUCAGCAUGCCACGGUGAAUACGUUCCCGGGCCU
rnacentral:rRNA from 1 species